rnacentral:rRNA from 1 species
AUUGAACGCUGGCGGCAGGCCUAACACAUGCAAGUCGAGCGGCAGCGGAAAGUAGCUUGCUACUUUGCCGGCGAGCGGCGGACGGGUGAGUAAUGUCUGGGAAACUGCCUGAUGGAGGGGGAUAACUACUGGAAACGGUAGCUAAUACCGCAUAACGUCGCAAGACCAAAGAGGGGGACCUUCGGGCCUCUUGCCAUCAGAUGUGCCCAGAUGGGAUUAGCUAGUAGGUGGGGUAAUGGCUCACCUAGGCGACGAUCCCUAGCUGGUCUGAGAGGAUGACCAGCCACACUGGAACUGAGACACGGUCCAGACUCCUACGGGAGGCAGCAGUGGGGAAUAUUGCACAAUGGGCGCAAGCCUGAUGCAGCCAUGCC